rnacentral:rRNA from 1 species
GAUGAACGCUGGCGGCGUGCCUAAUACAUGCAAGUCGAGCGAACGGACGAGAAGCUUGCUUCUCUGAUGUUAGCGGCGGACGGGUGAGUAACACGUGGAUAACCUACCUAUAAGACUGGGAUAACUUCGGGAAACCGGAGCUAAUACCGGAUAAUAUUUUGAACCGCAUGGUUCAAAAGUGAAAGACGGUCUUGCUGUCACUUAUAGAUGGAUCCGCGCUGCAUUAGCUAGUUGGUAAGGUAACGGCUUACCAAGGCAACGAUGCAUAGCCGACCUGAGAGGGUGAUCGGCCACACUGGAACUGAGACACGGUCCAGACUCCUACGGGAGGCAGCAGUAGGGAAUCUUCCGCAAUGGGCGAAAGCCUGACGGAGCAACGCCGCGUGAGUGAUGAAGGUCUUCGGAUCGUAAAACUCUGUUAUUAGGGAAGAACAAAUGUGUAAGUAACUGUGCACAUCUUGACGGUACCUAAUCAGAAAGCCACGGCUAACUACGUG